GUGUCAGCCGCCGCGGUAAUACCAGCACCCCGAGUGGUCGGGACGAUUAUUGGGCCUAAAGCAUCCGUAGCCGGUUCCUUAAGUCCUCCGUUAAAUCCACCUGCUUAACAGAUGGGCUGCGGAGGAUACUAUAGAGCUAGGAGGCGGGAGAGGCAAGCGGUACUCAGUGGGUAGGGGUAAAAUCCGUUGAUCCAUUGAAGACCACCAGUGGCGAAGGCGGCUUGCCAGAACGCGCUCGACGGUGAGGGAUGAAAGCUGGGGGAGCAAACCGGAUUAGAUACCCGGGUAGUCCCAGCUGUAAACGAUGCAGACUCGGUGAUGAACAGGCUUCGUGCCUGUUCAGUGCCGCAGGGAAGCCGUUAAGUCUGCCGCCUGGGGAGUACGGUCGCAAGACUGAA
rnacentral:rRNA from 1 species